GCUGCCUUUUGAAGGAUUUAAUUGCUCCAAGGAUUCACGCUUACACAGUAUUCUUCACCUCUUAGAAAUCACCGGACCAAAGAAAAAUCAGACGCACUGAGAGGAUUGCAAAUGAAGGACUUUUACAGCUAAAAACACCAUUACCCGUGUAUAAUCACAGUUGACUUAGCAGUGAUGGCUCAGGGAAUUUGUUUAAGGAGAAUUUAUCAGUUCUGG